GAAACACUUGCAAACUUGGAGAGACAGAUCUAUGCUUUUGAAGGAAGCUACCUGGAAGACACUCAAAUGUAUGGCAAUAUUAUCCGUGGCUGGGAUCGGUAUCUGACCAAUCAAAAAAACUCCAAUAGCAAAAACGAUCGGAGGAACCGGAAGUUCAAGGAGGCCGAGCGGCUCUUCAGCAAAUCCUCAGUCACAUCGGCCGCUGCAGUAAGUGCCUUGGCAGGAGUUCAGGACCAGCUCAUCGAAAAGAGGGAACCAGGAAGUGGGACAGAAAGCGAUACUUCUCCUGACUUCCACAAUCAGGAGAACGAGCCUGCCCAGGAGGACCCCGAGGACCUGGACGGUUCCGUUCAGGGAGUGAAGCCCCAGAAGGCUGCCUCCUCUACCUCCUCAGGGAGUCACCACAGCAGCCACAAAAAAAGGAAGAAUAAAAACCGACACAGUUCUCUGAGUAUGCUGCCUUCAGAUACGGGGAAACACUUAAAGCUCCUAAAUGCGAGCAUUCCUUCGUAGGAACCACCUGAGCACUGCUACUUUUGCAGUGGGAAAUGAGAUGGGGAUGACACCAGUGCACAGAGAGAAAUAGUGUUUCCUCCAAAUAAAUAGUGCUGAAGGACCACCGCUUUACUGUUUUCUGCAAACCAAAAACCACUGUGCUAAUCUCAAAGUAUAGUAAGAAACAGCAAAGAAUUGUCCCCUACCAUCUUGGUAUGUAUAUUAGGUUAGGCUGGGAAGUUUUUUUUAAAAACAGAAAAACGUGAUGGAGGAUUGAUCUGAAGUUAAACAAAAAGCCCCGAGCUGACUAUUAGAAGACUUGUUAGCAGCAGCUUCCGGCUGUGGAGCCCUGCUUCCCCUCUGACCUCACAGCGACAAAUGUCCCUCACCUGACUGUGACCAUCCACCUCUGCUUCCCCAGACCCAGUGCCUGUAACUGGCUAGUCUGUCCUAACUGUAGUGACGAAUCCUUUCUAUAAGACUGGGUCAUUCGCUGUUGUCAUCAUUAGUAGCAGAACAGCGGGAAGAUGUGUGGUUGGUCCCAGUCCCCGCGGGUGGCUAACUGUGCAUUUCUCCCUUCUUAGAAUGAAUGUCUCCCCCCAAACUGGCUGGCACCAGCUCCAUCUGUGAUUGUCCCCCCAUCGAGAAGUGCACAUCUCUGGUUUUGUGUUAUGCUGAAAGUAGAACCCAAGUUCCAUUGCAGAUGGAGGCUGUAAAUAUCUGCCAUUCUUUUGUUUUGUUUUGUGUUGUAUUAUUUUUUUAUUGUUGUUUUUACCAUCUGGUUUUCUUUUGGGACAUUUUGUGAUGCCUGUACCCUUCCUGAUGACACAUCUGAUCGUCUGUUUCAUGUGUCAGCAUUCAUUACUGAAAACUAAAGUGGCUUUCUAGAACUGAAUGGGCAA